rnacentral:rRNA from 1 species
AACGGCGAGUGAAGCGGCAAAAGCUCAAAUUUGAAAUCUGGCUCCUUCGGGGCCCGAGUUGUAAUUUGUAGAGGAUGCUUCGGGCGUGGCCGCGGUCUAAGUCCCCUGGAACGGGGCGUCGCAGAGGGUGAGAAUCCCGUCUUCGGCCGGCCGGCUUCGCCCAUGUGAAGCUCCUUCGACGAGUCGAGUUGUUUGGGAAUGCAGCUCUAAAUGGGUGGUAAAUUUCAUCUAAAGCUAAAUACUGGUCGGAGACCGAUAGCGCACAAGUAGAGUGAUCGAAAGAUGAAAAGCACUUUGAAAAGAGAGUUAAACAGCAUGUGAAAUUGUUGAAAGGGAAGCGCUUGCGACCAGAGUCGGCCGCGGGGGUUCAGCGGGCAUUCGUUGCCCGUGCACUCCCCCGUGGCCGGGCCAGCGUCGGUUUCGACGGCCGGUCAAAGGCCCCCGGAAUGUGUCACCCUUCGGGGUGUCUUAUAGCCGGGGGUGCAAUGCGGCCAGUCGGGACCGAGGAACGCGCUUCGGCACGGACGCUGGCUUAAUGGUCGUAAGCGACCCGUCUUGAAACACGGACCAAGGAGUCUAACAUCCACGCGAGUGUUCGGGUGUCAAACCCGUCCGCGCAGUGAAAGCGAACGGAGGUGGGAACCCUUAAGGGUGCACCAUCGACCGAUCCAGAAGUCUUCGGAUGGAUUUGAGUAAGAGCGUGGCUGUUGGGACCCGAAAGAUGGUGAACUAUGCCUGAAUAGGGUGAAGCCAGAGGAAACCUCCUGGUGGAGGCUCGCAGCGGUUCUGACGUGCAAAUCGAUCGUCAAAUUU